GGGAGUUGGCCCUGGCUAUGGUGGGACACCUGGGGGAGGAUAUACAGGAUAUGCGGGGGCCGGGCAAAAAUCUAAGGCACAGAUGGCGGCCAAAUAUGCAGCAAUGCAGGCUUUACUAGGAUCCGGAGCUUACAGAGGAGCUGGCUGUCAGGGAAAGUACUGUGGCCGAAGGAGGAAGUGAGCGAUCAACGAACAGGAAGUGACCUCAUUGAAACAAUAGUGGUGCUACUGCAUGAUCCCAGAUUGUAAGUGUCUAACCUGCCAUUGAAGCUAAAGCUUAAACACAUUACACAUGUUGUCUUUUCAUUUGCUUAGAUGUUAUACAAGGGUCUCUUUCAAAAAGAGCAAUGGUUCUCAGCCCGUUAGGGACGUGACUCCUUAAAACAAUAUGAAUCAUUGUCAUGUUGUUUUAUUUUAGUUUUUUUUUAAUAAUAAUUAAUCAAAAAUUUCACCCUAUCAGUUGUAAAAGCACAUGUUAAACUAUGUCUGAAUGAGGAAGUACAUGUACAAAUAUUUACCCAUAAAUCACCUUGUGAUUCUCUGGGGAUCCUGACUUUCAGGCUGAGAACCACUGAAAUAAAGGAUUUCUUUUAAAGUUUAUGACCAAGCUGUGCUAUACUACAGUUUGGGCUUAUUGUUGCGUUGAAAAUCAUUUGUGUUCCGGUGCAAGUGUCACCAUGAAUCCUGGGUGGGUGAGUCCUUCAGGGCAGCUCCUUCCUUUCUGGUUUGUAAAACCUCUCCGAGGUCACUUUUAUUUCACUCAUUCGCUGUUUUUCACUUUUUACAUCAAAGUGCAGACUUUUCCACAGUCUGUCCAGCAGACAGAAACACACGGCUGCUAUUUUAGGGGACAGUGAACCAAAGGGACUCUUGGUGGAAUUGUUCAUGGUGUUGUGUUUUUGAGUGGCAAUUAUCUGAUCUCUGAAAAGCCUCCUGUGUUCAUUAGAACUGUGCUCAGGCCUCCGAGGCUGAAGGUCUUUAGCUAUAAACUCGUCUUUUACUCCAUUCACAAGAACCAAAGGCACUGUGUUAUAGCUAAAUUGGUUUUAAUGUAAGAAUAUGGUUAACAUGCAUAUUUUUACAUUGUUUGAAGGAUGUAUUUGUUAUGACAGUCUGACGCGGCUUAGUUUAUAUUUUUUACAUUUGCUGUUGUGGAAAGAAUUAAAUCUAAAUGUGAGAUAAUAUGAUUUGAAACCAUGAUGCAUUUAAAUGACAUCAAAGGAGCAUUACUGCGGUUUCUGUGUACUCUUCUUUUUUCUUUGUUCUUUUGAUUUAACUGCUUUAACACUGUUGGAAAUUGUUCACGUUUACUCGUCGUUUUAAAUUAUGCUGAGGAAAAAGCAGAACAAAUUCUUGAGCUAUUUAGUCAACACAUUCAAAUGAAUUAAUACGGUAUGAAUUAUUUUAGUUAUUGUGUGUGCGUGCGUUUAUUUUAUUUUUUAAAGAUUUGUAGUACUAUGAUAAAUAUAAGUGCUUUGUUACAUUGACCUUGAAUGUGUGCUGAAUCACACUGUAGCCUGUGAUCUCAUGGGGAUAAAACAGUGUCACUGAAUCUCAUCUUUCAUUCGAGUGUAACAUUUGUGUUUCUGUCAUGUAACAUGUCUCUUAAUACCUGUGUUGUUUUUUUUACAUGGCCUAUGAAAAAAAAAAAUUGUGCACUUUUGUACACUUUCUUACAGCGCUCUCUAAAAUAAA